GGCUGAAGUUCUUAGAAACAGCUUUGCCUUCUGUUGAAUUGAUAAACAAAGAAAGAGUCACCAAGACGAAUGCAAAGAGGAUCACUGUGUGUGUGACUGCCAGUGACUGAAGAGUGCAUGCCCAAGACAACCUCAGCUGCAAAACCUCUUGGAAAGCACAGCAUUUCAGAAAGGUCCUGAGGAAGGAUAUGACAAGGUUCUGCAAGAUGUGAUGUCUGGUAGGUGGCCUGUUUC
rnacentral:lncRNA from 1 species